rnacentral:lncRNA from 1 species
UUUCCCUCACCUAGCUGCAUCUGCAUUCUCUCAUCUCCACUCUCACACUAAACCCUAGCCGACAUCCCUUCUUAUUCUUUCCUUAUACACGUCCACACGCGAGUUUACUUACAUUUCUUGCUACUAUUACUCAUUUUAUGGUAACUUUCGUUACCAUUUCACUUAUGGCAGGCCAGAUUCUCACAAAUUUGGCUUUGAUUCUAUGGUUUAGGGUGCUAUUGUGGUUCUAUGCACUGGAGAAGAGAAAAUCUCUCUUGUAUAUGGUAUAUCUCUAUUGAUUCCGCCAUGAUUGGGGCUUGUGAAUGAUUUGCCCUAAGUUCGAUUCCAACUAGCAUUUGGAUUCUGAUUUUCUUUUACUGGUUCUAUUACAGAUUGCAUGCGAUAUUUUCUUUCCUGAUUUAGGUUUAAUUGAUUGCUUUCCUUGUUUGUUCGUAUUAUUUUGAACACUAUAUAAACCCUUCCCCAAUUUUCCUUUUAGAUAGACCUUAAUCACUAAAAUUAACUACUUUUACUCUCUUACUCUCUCAUUCUAUAUAUUAUUAUGAAAUUUGAGACCUUGGCUGGCUGAAAGCCAAGGCCACCGAAAGUUCGAUUGUUGCUCUUUCUUAGUGGGUGCACUGCCCGGCGUUCACUUGAAACCCUUGGAAACUCUGACGCACUAGGAUUUUGGGGGGUGUUGCUGUUCUUUUGCUAUUGACGAUUAAAGUACUACUAGAAAUUGUUCUUCUUACUUACUUGUCCAUAAAUUUGUAACAGGUAAGUACCUUGACUCUUGCAAUUCUAUUCUUAGUCGUGGUCAUGACCUGAGUACUAUGCUUGGUCAAAUUUUCUGAACCUAUGUGAUUAAAAUAUGUUGUUGCCUUUGUUUGCAAUCCUAUCUAUUUCAAAGCUAGCCUAUAGUUCUGUAUUCUUUAGCAUCUAAAAUUGCUUAAAUCUUGCACUUAGAUAUCUGCCCACUGUAUACAUAUUUCGACCAUCUUGAACCUACUUAGUCCACUAUGUUUAUGCACACAUUAGUUUCCUAUGUAUGUUGCUUGCUCAUAUUCAUGUAUUGUUCUUAACUAUUGUGUUAAAUCUUUGAGGUACUUACUCAUGCCCAGAAUUUGCUUGACUGUACUUCUCUAUACUAAGUCAUUUAAGCAUAACUUACUACUUGAUCGUGUCUGUAUUCUAAACCCUUCAGACAAAGCAUGCUACUUGUGAACCCCGAUCUUCAUUAUAGUUACUUGCUUUACUACCAUCCUGUUCUGUACACUCAUAUCUGCUAAUGCUAGGUUUGCUCGAGUUUAAUGCCUAAGGAAUCUUUGAUGUGCAAAACUUAAACUUGCUAUAUGUGAUCAAUUUGUAUUAAACACUUGUUUGCUGACUAGUUGUGGUGUUGAGCUUGUAAUAAUGUUAACCCUAAGCUUCUGAAUUAGGUUUAGUUAGUAACAUCUCUACUUGUCCUGAAUUGGUCUACAACUCUUAGUUAUGCCCUGCCUUGAAUUCUUAUGAAGACUGUAGUGAUAUAUACCCCAAAGGGGAAUCUCUCGAGCAUGUCAUUAUCAUUUGUUAUUCCAUGUGCAGAUCCUUGCUUUGUGGAUUCAUGUUUCCUAUAAUUACUCUGGUGUAUCCUGAGAAAUCCAUGCUUUGAACUUGUUUGUCUCACAUAUGUGCUCAUUGCAAAGUCUUUGUACAUGUGUCUCCUCUUACCUGUUAGUUGUCACCCCUAAGGUGACACUCAGAAAGCCUUUCUACUGAUGAUUAUAAUGGGAAUCCAUGUGUCUUUACCUGAACCCUGAGCUAUUUUGAAUGACGCGCCUUAUAUCCCCAUGUUCCCGUUAUUUUCUAAUGGGUAAGCAAGGAAAUUGUUUUCAUAUUUGGGGCCUGGCUUAUUGGGCUUUAUGUAUUGUUGGAUCUGAGCAUUGAGCAGACGGGUUUGCAAGCCUGGAUAUCAGGCCUUUUAGAUAUGCAAGAGUACGGCUGGUAAAGGCCUAGAAAGGCACUUUUGGGUUACUUUGUACUUGUGAUGAGCCUGUAAACGUUGUAUUUGAGCCUGCAGUAGCCCUAUUAAGUUUGUAUUUGUUUUAUUAUUCUAACUGGGCCUAUAAUAAUUUGUAAAUAACAGCCAGGGUAUUAAUGAUAGGGGGUUGGGGUAUUCUCAUACUUGCAUGAAUGGGUAGAAAACAUGCCUAUAGAGUCUGCGUGAUCUAUUUGCUAUUUUGUUCAACAUGUCCUAUAUGCUAUUUAGUUUCAUGUUGUUGUACACUAAUAAAAAUAAUGUCUAUAAGGAUCACACACACCUCACUUAAUUUGUCUGACACUGGUACUUUAUUCAGAGCAUGUUAGUUUAAGUAAUUACUUGCACUUAUUUUCGUAUCUACUAUUGAAUGCCUUAGACAACAUGUUUAUAGUAAUCACUCGCUUUGCUUAAUAGACAACAUGCCUAUAGGAUAUAAUAAUACACGUCCUUGGUAUGCUUAUCUAGAUACCAUGGCUAUAGGUUAAUUAAUCAGUUGUUUCUAUUAUUUUCCUUUGCACUGCCUUAUCUAGAUGAUAUGCCUAUAAGUAUAAAGUAUUACAAAAGCAAGUCUAAUUGUCAACUAUUAGAAAUCAUGCCUGUAGGAUACUGUCACCCUCCUAGAAAGCAUGCCUAUAAGGAUAAAUCGCUUAAAAUCAAGCCCAAUUAUCAAUCGUUAGAAAACAUGCCCAUAGGAUAUUUGUAAUGACUUCACUGCCUAUUUACACAAACGAUUGGAUAUCACGUCUAUAGGACUUGCAACACUCUAAUUUGCAUAUACGUCAAAAAUUACAGCACUGCCCAUAUAAUACUGGAAUCCAUAAUCACAUAGAAAUCAUGCCUAUAAGAAUUAAUGCCACAUACUGCCUAACCAGAUCUGUCUGCGUGUUUUUCCUACUUAUGUGUGGAGGUUACUUGAGCCCCUUUUAUUGCAAUUAUGUGCAGUCCUAUCUGUUUUGAUUGUCGCCUAAUUUUAUCAUUUUGAGCAACUGAGUUGAGUCUAGAACUACCAAAUAGUAGGCCCAAAGCCUCUUAGACCCUAGGCAUGAGAUGAGUAGUGCACGCAUAGGGCACAACUUAGAAUUAAAUUAGAAUACUUUUAAGUAAACGACUCUAACAUAGUAAUCGGGUAGUAGGAGAUGAUAGUCUGUGCCCGCUGAAUAAUAUGAGCAACUCCUACCUAAAGGAAGUUACGAAGUAUUAUUUAUGCUGCACGGGGUGAUCCUUUAGGCUAUAAAACUUAGGACCCCCUUUCCCUUAUAUGCUUGCUAAAAGGAUUUAGUCAUUAAAUAUAGACCGACACAGUUGUAAUCCUUGUGAUCUUUAAAAAUUGUAUCAAAUUAUUCAUAUAGUUUAAUAAUAUUUUUACUUACACUAGUUUAUGUUAUAAUAGGACUUUCAACUUUCAUAUCUUUCUUUGCUUAUAUGCUUGCCUAGUUUAAUCAUAUAAUCCACAUAGUAUAAAAUUCGUUCGGGAACCACAGUUGUGGACCUCGGAGAGUGCCUAACACCUUCUCUUUGAGGUAAUUUGAGUCCUUACCCGAUUUUUUGUGGCGUUGACUAGUUAAACAGAUUUAUUUGCAAAUAGGUGCCCUAACGCACUUCAAAAAUCAUUAGGUGAUAACUCUUCUCUUUUAAUACCUCCUUUAAAAGAGUUGUCCCACACCGAAACCCGCUUUCGCGAGAAAAUGGGACGCGACAGCAUGACGACUCUGCUGGGGAUUUACACUUAGGCUCUUACCAUAAUGAACUUGACUUAUGUGGAUUACUUUCUUUUAUUUUUCUUUAUUUAUUUUAAAACUGCUAUUACUUGCACAUACCUUCCCUUAUUCACCUUUAUUUAUUUAAAUUUGCUAUGACAUGCACAUCUCUUUCCUUAUUCUCCUUUGUUUGCUAUGACAUGUAUGAUCGCUCUCCAUUUCUUUUCAUCUUGAUCGCUAUAUUAUCCCUAUUUCCUUACCUGCUUCAUUACAUUCUCGCACAUUUUCAUGAGCCAAACUGACUUCUUUCUUUUGUCUUUCUUUUCUUUUCUCUUAUUUUCAUAUUCACUUUUGCUAUUUUAUUUACUACUUCUUACAUGAAAAUACUUGGCAAUGUGUUACUAUUAUGCAUAAAGAAUGCUCCACAUCAUACUCCACUCGUGCCAAUUAUCAAUAUAGCAGCACUUGAUGAGUGUCCGCGCUUUCCUGAAAAUUUUUCCUUUUAAAUCGGAAAGGCUUAUUUGCAGUAGACUAGUCGAUAAGCGGUGCAAUUGACGGUCCCGUGCCUAUCCCUCUCAAGUUGUACACUUGGGAGACCAGUCUAGACCAUUCUAGAAAGCCUACUCCAACUUGAAAUGUACAUGCAUCGUGCUAAACCUAGUACGGGUUGGAGCGUUAUUAACAUAACAACCCGCUAAGAUGAACCUUGUCCAAAGUCCGAUGGGAUUUCCACAAUCCCAAUGGACACUAUCAUAUUAUGUGCAUUACUUGGAGAAAUUGUGCCAAAAUGUUGAUCAUUGUUGCGUAAGUAGUCAAAUUUGGAGGGUGAAAUGGCUAACCUUUCUUUGUUUGCAGAAAAUGAAGCAUGAAAUCCCCAGGUUCGACAUGGUCCAAAACAACCCAUAUUUGUACUAGACUUGUGGAAAGACCUUGCACCUUGCGACAAAAAUCAUGUGAGAAGAGUACUUGGUGACCAGCCAUCCUUGCUAAACAUUUGACCAAACAGGAAAUUAAUUGAGGCCGCUACUAUGUUUUAGGGUGAGAAAAGAGCUAUUUUCCGAUUUGGCAAUAUAGAAAUGACUCCUCUCCUAGAAUAAAUAGGAGGCUUCGCCAAGUUUCCAUGGGUAGUCUAGGAUUAAUAGUACCAGAGAAUCGCACUCCCC